AAUGGAUUGUGAGUGAUGAUUCAAUUAGAUGUGCGAAUGGUUUCAUUAUGAGCACACAACACUAAAUUUGGCAAUUUUUAUCUGACACUCCCGUU
rfam:Brassica oleracea var. oleracea cultivar TO1000 chromosome C5, whole genome shotgun sequence